rnacentral:rRNA from 1 species
CCUACGGGAGGCUGCAGUGGGGGAUAUUGGACAAUGGGGGGAACCCUGAUCCAGCGACGCCGCGUGAGUGAAGAAGUAUUUCGGUAUGUAAAGCUCUGUCAGCAGGGAAGAAAGAAAUGACGGUACCUGACCAAGAAGCCCCGGCUAACUACGUGCCAGCAGCCGCGGGAAUACGUAGGGGGCAAGCGUUAUCCGGAAUUACUGGGUGUAAAGGGAGCGUAGACGGUUAAGUAAGUCUGGAGUGAAAGGCCGGGGCCCAACCCCGGGACUGCUCUGGAAACUAUUGAACUUGAGUGCAGGAGAGGUAAGCGGAAUUCCUAGUGUAGCGGUGAAAUGCGUAGAUAUUAGGAGGAACACCAGUGGCGAAGGCGGCUUACUGGACUGUAACUGACGUUGAGGCUCGAAAGCGUGGGGAGCAAACAGGAUUAGAUACCCGAGUAGUC